rnacentral:lncRNA from 1 species
AUUUCGUCGCCGGAGGUGUCCUUCUCCAGCAGAGGGUCGGCGAGUAGGUGGUUCAGUGCUAUAGCUCCUGUUAUGAACUGGAGAGAGGAGCUGUGCUGUCUUCUGCCCCGAGGCUGGAGGACGGGGAAUGCGGGGAUACAAAUGAACGUGGGGUAGCUAGCUGCCCAUUUACUGACUAAACUCCUGUCUCUGGACUCCCUUCCCUGGGAGCGUCCUCAUUUACUCAACACGGAGAAUUGAACCAGUGACAAGAUAAGGACGCGCACCCCCAGGCUCCCGUGCCUAGGAGGAUGCUUGGCUGACACACAGAGAACCUCAGCUAAUACUCCUUGAAACCAACAGAAGGAACCUUCUGCUUUCAUCUGGAGGACCCAGCGUUCUGCCUGAGCGUGAGCUAGGACCCCCCUCCCAGGGAACGCCCAGGUGCCUUGGGCUUUCGCCCUCCUGCCAACAUCGAGUCUCCAAGUUCGCAAGAGCCAGAGGGAAGGAGCUGCCAACCAGGCACAGCGGAGAACACUGGAACCAUGACAACCAGUCACCAGCCUCAGGACAGGUAUAAGGCUGUCUGGCUCAUCUUCUUUGUCCUGGGUCUGGGGACACUGCUCCCCUGGAAUUUUUUUAUAACAGCAACCCAGUAUUUCACAAGCCGCCUGAACACGUCCCAGAAUAUAUCCUUGGUCACCAACCAAUCAUGCGAAAGCACCGAGGCCUUGGCUGACCCCUCAGUGUCCUUGCCAGCCCGGAGUUCUC